UAGAUUAAUGGCGACUGCUGGUGCUGUAUGAGUUGCUGAUUGUGCCUGCAGGUCUGGGAGGCUGAGGUCCAU